rnacentral:lncRNA from 10 species
AGCCACCGCGCCCGGCCUGUUCAACACUCUUUUCUGCUUGAUGUGUGGAGUGAUUGAAUCACCAUGUUUUCCUUCACUGCUCUCGUGAAGAGUAAUACAUUACAGAGGUAAGAGGUGUCAGUCACAUCACUUUUUAUUUUUACCGUGAAAGUACUUCUAAUCUGAUGGGCACGCACCACCAUGCCCAGCUAAUUUUUUUUUUUUUUUUUUUUUUUGAGACCGAAUCUUGGUCUGUCGCCCAGGCUGGAGUGCAGUGGCGUGAUCUCGGCUCACUGCAAGCUACGCCUCCCAGGUUCAUGCCAUUCUUCUGUGUCAGGUUCAAGCGAUUCUCCUGUCUCAGCCUCCCAAGUAUCUGGGAUUACAGACAUGCACCACAUGCCUGGUUAAUUUUAUAUUUUUAGUAGAGACAGGGUUUAUUCAUGUUGGUCAGGCUGGUCUCGAACUCUUGACCUCAGGUGAUCCACCUGCCUUGGCCUCCCAAAGCGGUGAAGACUGUGAAGAGCGGGUCAGGAAGAUGAGCACAGCACUGCUACUCCUGUGGGCACAGGGACAGCAUGUCUCCAGCCAGCGCCACCUUGUUUAAUACAUGGGAACUCACUGAAAUUCAUUCUGUAUUUUGCCCGCAAAGUUUUAAAGCUUUCAUCCACAGUCAGGAAUUAAACUUAUACCAAUGAGAGCCUCACACAUUCAAGGAUGUACUAAGCACUACAGGCCUCACAGAAACAGAGAUCCCAUCUUGGAGUUUUCAGUACCACAUGGGAGAUAAAGGGUUUUGAACAUGAAAUGACAAAAACAACAGCAAGAAGAAAAUUCUUGUCCUUUUUCAUUACUAUCAGACUCAAAUAAAUGUCUUGGCUCUUACAUUACAUUCAUUCUUCAACCAUUGUGGUCUGGCUUCCACUUCCUUCACUUCACCAACAUGGCUCUGCCAAAGGAAGCCCGUGAUCUCUAGGCCAUCACUUUAAUUGAUCUUUCUACAACAUUUAUCCUGGUUGUUAAGCCCUCCUUACAACAUUCUUCUCUCUUUGUUUUUAUAGCUCCAUCUCUCCUGCUUCUUUAACUUGAUAAUGCAUACUUGAUUUUUCUAUUUGUUAUUUCAUAAACCAAUUAAUACACAGAUAAAAUGACUGUAUAUCAAACCAUGUUUGUAUAGAAAAAAUGGAUUUUGGAUGCCUCUCAUAUGUAAUUAGUUCUAUUAAACAUAUUAAUUGUAUUGUUUAAUUUGUCAGGUUUUUGACAGAAUUUUGUUUACAAGUAAUAAAAAUUUUAUCUCCAAUUUUCAAUAAUUACACCCAUUAUUUCUGUUUUAUGUCUCAUUGCAUUGAUGAGAUCUUGCAGAAUAAUUUUAAAACAGUAGUGGGUAUUUUCUGCUUUUAAUGGGUAUGUCUAGUAUUUCAUAUAUUGUUGCUUAUAGAACACUAUUCAACCAAGACAUGUCAAGACUAGUUGUCUCUCAAACCAUUAGUAUUUAUAUUAUUCCUUUCCAGCUACACUUGUAGGAUGUAAAAGACCAUUUCCAGGAAUAUGGAACUGUUUUACUAGGUGGAGGGUAUAUAUAACCAUAUAAUAGUCACAGAAACUACAUUAAUACUCACAUAAAUCAAAGCAUAAAUGACAUAGAAUCUUGGCAGAUUUGCUUAAGGUUAAAUGUAUAACUCUUAUCAGCAGGAGGUGAAAGAAUAUAUUCUUAGAUACUUGGCACAUUUAGAAAAUAUAAUCUAAUAUUCUUUUUAAAGAAUAGGCCGGGCACGGUGGCUCACACCUGUAAUCCCAGCACUUUGGGAGGCCAAGGCGGGCGGAUCACGAGGUCAGGAGAUCGAGACCAUCCUGGCUAACACGGUGAAACCCCGUCUCUACUAAAAAUACAAAAAAUUAGCUGGGCGCGGUGGCGGGCACCUGUAGUCCCAGCUACUCAGGAGGCUGAGGCAGGAGAACGGCAUGAACCCGGGAGGUGGAGCUUGCAGUGAGCCGAGAUCGCGCCACUGCACUCCAGCCUGGGCGAAAGAGCGAGACUCUGUCUCAAAAAAAAAAAAAAAAAAGAAUAAAUAAAACAUCAUCUACAAGGGAAUUACUUGAAAUUAAAACAAAUGGUAGUCAUAUAUAUGGUACUUCAUUAUUAGGAAGGUGGCUAAAAGCCCAUUUAGACAUAUUCUGCUUUUCUUAAGGAAUAAUGAUCGUUUCAUGUUAGGUUAUAGCCAGCACAGCACCUCGUGGGGUCAUCAGAGGCCUGUGCUAUCAUUCUCACUAGGAGGGAUGGUUAACCCAUGUGUUCUAGGACCACAAACUAUGCCCCAAUCUACUCAUCCAUCUAGAAAAAAAGGCAUGCUUUUAGUUCAACAAUUCCAAAGCAUCAGUUGGAGGACCAGUGUUGGCUGCAUCAGAAUCACCUGGGUGUUUGUAAUAAAUACAGAAUCCUGAGCAGGUAUUCUGGCAUUUCUGUUCAUACAGAAUCUCCAGGGUCAGGGCCAAGUAUGUCUGAUGUGUAGCAACA